GUCAAGGUUUCGACAGGGGUCUUGCAGCUGGAGAAGCUAUCCGCAGGCGAUGCGUCAAAUCGCAAACUUAAAUAUAAACGCUGAUAAUAAAUUAGCAUACGCUGCCUAAUGGCAGCUGUCUGACCUAGUGCACCUACACAUUAGGACCCAGGCAUCGACUAUGUAGGAAACGACACGUGCUAAGCUUUGCCCACGUGGGCGUAUCAUGAAGCUACCAAAUCCAUGAGGGUGUCGAUUACUUUGUGGAGGCGGAAAAUGCCUUUGGCGAAAUCAAUUGACUAUGAUAGUAGAAGGACAGGGAAUGGGCUUUUGGACGCGGGUUCGACUCCCGCCUAAUCCACU
rnacentral:tmRNA from 1 species